CGCGAAAGAAAUAGAGUCUUCCAGAACCCCCAAAUCCCAAACCCCUCACCGCCGGCCACUCCCCUCUCUUUCCCGGCGACCAUCCGAGUUGAGUUGAGUGAGGGUCCUUCCCCUCGUAUAGCUGUAGUUUUAUUUAGGGCCUCAAUAAAUCAGAUAUGACUUCGAGCUUGCCGAGCAUCUCUCCUUCUAGAUCUGGCCGUGCAACUCAUCCGAGACAGGGAGCAUAGCGGCGGUUGCUGCCAUGUCCAUGUAUGUUCGUUUUCCCUUUGUGGUUGUUGGGUUCAUUGAUUCUCUUUUGUGCAGGCUUUACUUCUCAACCUCCAACUCGAUGCUCUUUCUCUUGGAGCCUACCAGCGGCAGGAACACCAUGAGUAGGCCGCCGAGGAUUUUUGCUGGUGGCGAGCUGCUCGUUCAUGGCGGCGCUGGCGCCAACUACCCCAACCCUUUGUGUCCGCUCCCAACCACGCUCACCCCUCCCAUGUUGUCCCGACACGUACUAAAACCUACUCCGCAGGCAGAGUGCAGCAGCACAGGGCGGCCCUAGCGGCGCGACGUUCAUAGCAGUUUGGCUAGCUAGAAGAUGUACAUUACAGGGAAAAGGGCACCAAAGGUUCGAGGGGAAGCCAAAAUAUGGUUUAGAUCAAGAGAAAAGAAUUGGACAAGACAACACCAGUGAGGCAAUGCAUAGUUACUGCUAGAGGAAUUGACUUUGAUAUCAUACAAGCCAUCAUUUGGUUGUAAAAAUGUUUUUGGCACCCCCAAAUUUACCAAUGAUUGCAAUAGAUCAGUUUCGACAUAUACUACUAUUAGAAGAUGAUACAACUAUUAUUAGUGAAGUUGACAUCAAAAUUGGAAGUUGCAAGUCAUUGUAUGGUUCUAUAAAAUGGCUGUUAGUUUGGUUUGAUAGGUACAUCUUCAUCUCUUCUUGGACAUUUUGUUUCUUUGCUUAGUAUAAAAUGUAUUGCAUGGGUUCAUUUUUUUUUCCCAAAUAUACUACAGGCCCUCUAUAGGGUCAUUAUUUUUUUAAUUUUGCCUAAACAUACUACAGAUCGUCAUGUGUGGACGUGUUUACAAUUGCCACAUGCUCUCUGUACCCUCAGUUACAUGGCAAACAAUGAGAAA